rnacentral:rRNA from 1 species
UACGUAGGGAGCAAACGUUGUCCGGAUUUAUUGGGCGUAAAGGGCUCGUAGGCGGUUCAACAAGUCGGUCGUGAAAGCCCGGGGCUCAACCCCGGGAUGCCGGUCGAAACUGUUGUGACUAGAGUUCGGUAGAGGUGAGUGGAAUUCUCAGUGUAGCGGUGGAAUGCGCAGAUAUUGAGAGGAACACCAUUAGCGAAGGCGGCUCACUGGGCCGAUACUGACGCUGAGGAGCGAAAGCGUGGGGAGCAAA